ensembl:lncRNA
CCGCCGGCUGGGCUCCUGCUCUACGGGACAGCGGCCGCAGAAAGGAGACCACACAACCUCAGGUGCGGUGUCUGCGGGGGGGAGACUAACGGGACUCGGGGAGAGGAAGUUAAGGAACUGAAUGUCAGGGUUCACAAACUCCCCCAAAUCCCUCUCUUUUUUACAAAAUUUAUUUUAUUACUUUUUAAAAAUUAUAGCUUUUUAUUUACAAGCUGCGUGCGUGGGUAAUUACUCCCGCAAAUCCCAGUGGGCCUUGGGAAGACCUAGAACCUCAGAUUUCCGGCUCGGGGGUUUGGGAGACCGUCGGGUCCGACCUGUUUGUUUUGCAGAGGAAACUAUGAGGGCCAAGGUCUCACAGCUCAUCGGAAGCAGAGGCCUUGAGUCCCAGAUCCAGACCUUUCUGCAGCUAGAUCUGGAACGACUGCAAUUAUUUUAGGCUUCUGAGAGAAGCCGGGGAGAAGCCAAGAAAAUGGGGGUCAAAAUAAGUGAUAUUGAGUCUCUUUUAGGGGAAAGAGUCUAUUUUCAUGUGAGAAAAGCCACUGUCGCCAUUGAGGAUCACUGAUGGGUACACAAGGGAACGUUGAGUGCUUUGGGGGGCCUGCUGCCAGACAGCGCUUGCUGAUCUGGGGGGUCCUGUCCAUUCUGGGACGCCCCCCCCGCCCGAGACAGGCCCCCCUGGGCCUUGGCCACAGGGGCCGGGCCGGGCCUGCCACGGGGGCUGCUUCAGGGCCUCUCCUGGCUUUGCUCAGGCCCUAGGAACUUCCAGAGGCUCGGUGGGUAUCAGAGCUGGGGGGAGGGGGCCUGCUCGGCCCCCCCCCAGAGAGGCCUGCUCCGUAGCCUCCCUAUUCGGGGCCCAUGACGCUGGCCGGGAAGAGGCCGGGAGGGGGGAAUGGAGGGCCCAAAGACCUCGAGGGUGGGAGAGACCCGAGAGGGGGAGGGGAGGAGGGCCUCUGCCCGAGGCUGCCCUGCUGUUUGUCCGGAAGUGGGGAUGGGACCAGCUGGGGACGGUCCGUACAAAGUCCUCUGUGGGGGCAGCUCCCCUGCCAAGGACACCGGACACAGCACCUCCCAGGGCCUCACCCGGGCCCGAGUCCCGCCACUCCCUGAGCCCGCCGUGGUGGGAGAAGAAGCUGCCCGAGCGCCCACUUCCUGUCCUGCAAAUGCGGCUCAUCCGCCGGCCACCAGCCCAGCUCUGCCCAACUCUCCGGAGGCCCCGCCCUUCGUGACCGCCCCCCGCCCCGUCCAUCUGCUCCCCGAUGCUCGGAGCCAAAGGGGGCCCAACAAACAGAGACUGGGGAAGGGAUCCGGAUCGGGGGGACCGAGCUCAGGCCGCUGUGGACCCGGGCGAGCUACUGCUCCCUGUUUGCUGUUGCUCCCCCAUCUGUCAAGUGGAAAAGGGAAUCGAUCGCGCCGGUGUCUCUGCCAAGAAGAUCCUGAGCGGGCCGAACAACAACAUGUGGGGCUCGUGUGUCGUCCCGUGAGUCCUCGCCUCCCCUGGGAGGGAGAUGUGCUCAUGAGCCCGCUUGGCAGAUGGGAAACAGCUGAGGCUGAGAGGGCGGGAUGAUGUCCCCGAGAUUACUAAGUCUCUGAGGUGACCCCGAGUCUGGCGCCGGCGGCCAUGACUCGUAAUCCAUGAGGAUCCUGGAAAACCCCAAGUUCCACAAACAUCCGGGCUGAGGUGACAAAGCCCUGGAGGAGCUGCUGUUCUUCUUCAAAGGGAGGAGCCUGCGGCAUGUGCCCGGCAAAGUAACGGAGUCCUUGGGAGAGACAGAGGGACCAGGAGCGUCUGCCAGAGGGGCCUCUCCGGCCUCGGCCGUUCCUUGGCUGGGCGACCCCUGGCCUCUCUGUGCCAGCCUCCUCAUCCAUAAAAUGGGGACAAGGCGACAGUCGGACCCAACGAGGACAUUUUGCAAAGUGUCGCACAGACUUUCUAAGUCUUGGGAAUCUGGACGAUGAUGCAGCCAUUGGGAGAGCCCAGAGCCCGUCGGGGCUGGGGAGACAUCACGGAACACCGGCCGUCAGUGGGUGACUGGCACGGAGAGCCCCUGGUGUCUGGCACAGAGAGCUCCAGGGAUGGGGGCCCGAGGCCUGGCCGUGGCCUUCCUGCUGGGGCUGGCGGGGGCCGCCCUGGCCUCCAACAACGGCACGCGGAUCUGCCAGCCGGCCCCGGACUGGCAGGUGGACGGCGGCGUCUCCCCCAUGGAGGAAGCCCUGGGCAACGUGACGGUGGUGGCCCUUCUCAAGGCCAGCUGACACUUCUGCCUCCUGCAGGCCGCCAGGAUAGGCAGCCUGCAGGAGCGCCUGGCCCGCGCCGGCACCGCCGGGGUCCGCUUCCUCAUAGUCAACCACAAGUCGGCGGCGGCCCAGGCCCUGCAGGGCGAGCUGGAGCUCCGGGCCCCCCGGGGCGUGCCCGUCUACAGCCAGCGGGGGCCCAGGCCCGACAUCUGGGGGCUCCUCGGAGGGGCCAAGGACGACUUCCUGGUCUAUGACAGGUGUGGCCGCCUGACCUUCCACAUCCAGCUGCCCUUCAGCGCCCUGAGCUUCCCCUUCGUGGAGGCGGCCGUUCGCUUCAGUCACCAGCAGGAUCACUGUGGGAACUGCUCUUUCUACCCGGCCCAGGUGAACGGCACGGACCAGGCCGAGUCGGCAGCCCAGUCCCCCGGCCAGGAAGGAAGGCAGGGGCCCCUGAGCGAGGGGCCCAACCCCCACCGACCGACUCUGCUGUCCGGCUCCCCUCCCCCAGCCCAGACCCAUGGGCCUGACCACAGCCCUGGCGAGCAGCCACCUCCCAGCCCCCCUCCCCACAGCCUGGAGCAGUUCCCCCACAUGCAGGCCCUCAUUUAACCUCCACAGGGGGCACGGCCGGCCCCCACGGCCCCCAACACCCCCCCCAGCUCAUUCCUGAGGGACCACUGAGGUGUCCCUGGGGUCACGGUCACUACGGGGAUCUGUGCCCAUCAAGGCCCGGCCUUGGUGAGCCCCAGACCUCACCCACCACCCUCCCUCCCUCCAUUAAUGACGCCCACGGUGCAACCCCGAGAAGCGGCCACGGCGGGCUGACGCCACAUAGGGAGGAGGGAUGAGGAAGAGUCCGUUGUGCACCCCCAGGGUGACCACAAGCCAGUGGGGGGCCCAACCAGUGCCGGGGGCUGGGAAAUGGCCAAUAAACUCGGCUGCCUGCAGCUGCCUCACUGGUCUGCUUGGGGGCUUUCGGGGGGCCGGGCGGGAGGCAGGGCCCCAGGAUGUGAGAGAGUAUGUACAUGGGGCAGUGUGAGAGAAAACGUGAGGGGCCGCACCCACAGCAGAAUCAGGGGGAGGUCGAGGAGAGUGUGAGAGGGGCUUCCUGGAGGAGGCGGCCCUGAGAGGGCUGGGAGGAGCCCAAGGUCAGGGCUGACUCAGGGCCCAGCCCUCUCCUCCCCUGACUUGCAGCAGCAGCAGGGCUGGACCCUAACCCGGGGCCCCUUCUGUGACUUUCUGGGGAGAAAUAGGUCCUGCCCCUGUACGGGCCCCUUGGGAACCCCCGCAGCCCCAGAUCUGGCUCCCUCGUCCCAAGCCCUCCCGGGAUCGUCCCUCUGGGACAGAAGGCUGGCCCAGAGCUCCGAGGGCCGGGCCCACGUCUCCCUUCUCUCACGGGGCUCCCGCCGAGGGCCGACUCUCAGCCCUGCUGUCCUUGCUCUGCCCCACGGGUGGGGGUGGGGGGACCAGGAACCCCACAGCGACAUCCCUGCAAGCCUCCCCUGGAAUGCCUCUAGGGACGGGGAGCUCCCUACCUCACCUCCAGAGGCAGCCCCACUGCCUCUGUACUCCCCCCCGCCCAGAGGCUCCUCGGGGCCAAGCAGACAAGGCUAGAGCCCCUUCUGGCGAGGACCCUUUGAGACCCUUGAAGGCGGCUCUCGGGGUGUGAGAGAGAGACUGGCUUUGCACAGAGGGCCAGGGUUUGAAUCCUGCCUGACUCCUGGGGGCUCCUUCUGGGCCCAGUCUCCUCCUCUGCACAAUGAGCCUGGGACUUGGAGCCUCUCCCGGGGCAGCCCCCUGCCCCCGAGCUUGGGCUUGGUCCCAGGCCCCAAAAACCCUCCAUUUACUUCAACAAGCUUGAGCUCGCCGGCACCACCUUGUGGCCAAACAUGGAUCCUCAACAAAGGCAGGGGAACAGGCAUUUAUUAAGCACCGACUGUGUACCAGGUUCUGUCCUGAGCGCUCAUGGCUCAGGAAGCAGGUGCUCUGAUUGUCCCCAUUCUACAGAUAAGGAAACUGAGGUAGCAGAGGUGGAGGAGCUUGCCCAAGCAGGCCUCCCUGACUCCCAAGCCAGCUUAGGGGCCUCUGGGAGGGGCCUUUACCACAGUUUCCCUGGUGGAGGCCCCAUGGAGGGCCCUCUCCCAGAUGCGCUAUCUCCCCUCCUCUGGCCCCCUGCCUUCUCUAAUCUUCUUCCCCCGAUGGCCCCCAGGAGUCGGCUCUGGGGGGGCCCCUGUGAGCUCUGGCCCCUGGAGGGGUGGGGGGGUGACGGGCCCCGGAGCGGGCUGGGGGCUGAGGUGGGACUUCCUGGCGGACGGUCUCCGGUCAGGGCGGGGGGCGGGGCCGUCACUGGGCGGAGCUGGCGGGAGGCCGGGCAGGCCCACGGCCCCCCACGCGGGGGGUCCAUGUCCGGAGAUCCCGGGCCAGGUUGGGGGGGGUCCCGCCCAGCAUGCGCCCAAGCUGCUCGAUCCUCCUGUGGGGGAGGGGGCGGCUAGGGCCCAGGGCAGCCCGCGGUGGCCAGGCCCCCCUCGCUUCUCCUACCUUGGGGGCGUAGAGGGCGCAGGGGUCCAGGUUGCCCUGCAGGGUCACCGACUUUCCCA